AGGAAUCAUUGAUUGGGUUGUUUCUGUUUGCAACCCAAACAACAGUUCUAACUGGGAUGUUCUUGUACCAUAUUCCGACAUAACGGUUCCUGGAACUUCCAGGACUGAAGAAACCAAGCUCAAAACUUCCAUCUUUCGAAACUAAGGUUCUUGUCCCUCCAUCACGAAUAGAUUGAGACAAAGUAAGGGUAUUAGCUGUAUUACAAAAUCUAGAGAAUAGAAGGAGUAGAUUCGCAAUAAUAAUUAGCAUUGAAGAAAGAGUGUCCAUUAGCAACUGGGAAAACUUUGAACUAUUUUGCUUUCUGUAACAGAUGGAAUACAGGUAUGGUUUCCAAUCCACAAGGGUCAAAGUAACAUAGAAGUGGACAAGUCUUUUUU